UUUUUCUAUUUUGUUUUCCCAGAGCCAGUGAAGAGUAACUCCACUAGACCGGGUGAAGGGGAAGAGAAGGGAAUGACAGAGAGCAUGCCAUAAAAGGGAGUGACCUGCUCAUCUUGACAAAAGGUCUGUUCCCGGAAAUGCAUGCAACAUCUCUUUGAAACAUGUAAAGAGGGAUUUAAGGCUAAAUCCAUUCAGAAGCAAAUCAGGACCAUAUUUAUAGAGGUACUAUUUCCAGUGGGACUGUGAGUAUCUAUUCCAUGAAGAUGUACCUAAAAUGUCUCUUUUGGAAGCAAAG